rnacentral:tRNA from 1 species
GCUGAAUUAGCUCAGUUGGUAGAGCGGCUGUUUUGUAAGCAGCGGGUCGGGAGUUCGAAUCUCUCAUUCAGCACCA